rnacentral:rRNA from 1 species
AUUGAACGCUGGCGGCAGGCCUAACACAUGCAAGUCGAACGCCCCGCAAGGGGAGUGGCAGACGGGUGAGUAACGCGUGGGAACGUGCCCUUCGCUUCGGAAUAGCCCCGGGAAACUGGGAGUAAUACCGGAUACGCCGUAUUAGGAAAGAUUUAUCGGCGAAGGAUCGGCCCGCGUUGGAUUAGCUAGUUGGCGGUGUAAUGGACCACCAAGGCUACGAUCCAUAGCUGGUCUGAGAGGAUGAUCAGCCACACUGGGACUGAGACACGGCCCAGACUCCUACGGGAGGCAGCAGUGGGGAAUCUUGGACAAUGGGCGCAAGCCUGAUCCAGCCAUGCCGCGUGAGUGAAGAAGGCCUUAGGGUUGUAAAACUCUUUCGCCGGAGAAGAUAAUGACGGUAUCCGGAGAAGAAGCCCCGGCUAACUUCGUGCCAGCCGCCGCCGUAAUAC